GACGAACGCUGGCGGCGUGCCUAAUACAUGCAAGUCGAACGAACCGCGACUAGGUGCUUGCACUUGGUCAAGGUGAGUGGCGAACGGGUGAGUAACACGUGGGUAACCUACCUCAUAGUGGGGGAUAACAGUCGGAAACGACUGCUAAUACCGCAUAGGACAUAGGAUCACAUGAUCCAGUGAGGAAAGGUGGCGCAAGCUAUCGCUAAGAGAUGGACCCGCGGUGCAUUAGCUAGUUGGUAGGGUAAAGGCCUACCAAGGCGAUGAUGCAUAGCCGACCUGAGAGGGUGAUCGGCCACAUUGGGACUGAGACACGGCCCAAACUCCUACGGGAGGCAGCCGUAGGGAAUCUUCCGCAAUGGACGCAAGGCUGACGGAGCAACGCCGCGUGAGUGAAGAAGGUCUUCGGAUCGUAAAGCUCUGUUGUUAGAGAAGAACAGCGCAUAGAGUAACUGUUAUGCGUGUGACGGUAUCUAACCAGAAAGCCACGGCUAACUACGUGC
rnacentral:rRNA from 1 species